UACGUAGGGUGCGAGCGUUAAUCGGAAUUACUGGGCGUAAAGCGUGCGCAGGCGGUCUGUUAAGACCGAUGUGAAAUCCCCCGGGCUUAACCUGGGAACUGCAUUGGUGACUGGCAGGCUUUGAGUAUGGCAGAGGGGGGGUGGAAUUCCACGUGUAGCAGUGAAAUGCGUAGAGAUGUGGAGGAACACCGAUGGCGAAGGCAGCCCCCUGGGCCAAUACUGACGCUCAUGCACGAAAGCGUGGGGAGCAAACAGG
rnacentral:rRNA from 1 species